rnacentral:rRNA from 1 species
AAAUCCUGGGGUUCACCCUCGUAGAGCUUUUGAAACUGGGUACCUUGAGUGCGGGAGAAGUACGCGGAAUUCUUGGUGUAGCGGUGAAAUGCAUAGAUAUCAGGCAGAACUCCCGUGGCGAAGGCAGCGUACUGGCCCCCAACUGACGUUGAGGCUCGAAAGCGUGGGUAUCAAACAGGAUUAGAUACCCUGGUAGUCCACGCAGUAAACGAUGAAUGCUAGGUGUCGGGGGGCGAAGGACCUUCUGGGUGCCGCAGCGAAAGCAUUAAGUAUUCCACCUGGGGAGUACGCUGGCAAGAAUGAAACUCAAAGGAAUUGACGGGGACCCGCACAAGCGGAGGAGCAUGUGGUUUAAUUGAAGGAUACGCGAGGACCUUACCAGGUCUGACAUCCAGGAGGCAGUCCUUGAACGGAGGCAGUCAUUCAAUGGUAUCAUAGGCGGUGGGGCCUGGUUGUUGUUAGGUUGGGCUGGGAGGAGUCGGGGUAAGUGCCAGCACGAGGGCCACCCCUUCUUACAGUUACCCUGCAGUGAGGAUGGGCACUCUGUGGGGACUGCCGGAGCCAAUAGGGAGGAAGGUGGGGAUGACGUCAAAUCAUCAUGCCCCUUAUGUCUGGGGCGACACACGUGUUACAAUGGCAGGUACAAAGGGAAGCCACCCGGUGAGGGGGAGCCGACCCCGAAAACCCCUUUCCAUUUGGAAUGGUGUUUGCCACCCGGCUCCCAGGAAGCGGAUUUGGUUGGUAUUGGCCAUCCACCACGGCGCGGUGAAUACGUUCCCGGGCCUUGCACACACCGCCCGUCAAG